UACGGAGGGUGCAAGCGUUAAUCGGAAUUACUGGGCGUAAAGAGUGCGUAGGUGGUUGAAUAAGUUAUCUGUGAAAUCCCUGGGCUUAACCUGGGCAGGUCAGAUAAUACUGUUUAACUCGAGUAUGGGAGAGGGUAGUGGAAUUUCCGGUGUAGCGGUGAAAUGCGUAGAGAUCGGAAGGAACACCAGUGGCGAAGGCGGCUACCUGGCCUAAUACUGACACUGAGGCACGAAAGCGUGGGGAGCAAACAGG
rnacentral:rRNA from 1 species